AAGAGAGUAACAUGCUUCCAGUAACAAGGAAACAAAUGCAGGGCUGAACACGCCUGCAGAAUUGUUUUCUGUAUGCUGGGACAAGGAAGAUGUAGCCGGCAAGUGAGGCUCAGGAUCUCUGACAGCCCUUCUAAAGCAUUUCCAGGGGCUAGCACAUUACCUCUCAGAUCUGAAAUGGCAUGAGGCACCCAAGUGCACAUGGAAAUGAACUGAUCUUCUGACUUGUCAACAAGACACAUAUUUGCAUCUCUUAUAUCUUUUUUGGAAGUUGGAAAUAAUACAGGCAACUGCUUGAAAAGAUAACACAUGACAGUUUCAGAGAACCACCAAACAACAUCAAGAUUCUUACCCAAACUCUAAUGCAAGAUUUUUCAAAGAGGAAGAGUGAGGAAAUACUGAUCAGGCACCAACACUGUGAGAUGACAUGCCUUGACAAGUACAGGCCACCAUUAAGGAUGAUGCAUUCCUUUUGUUAUCUGACAGAAAUAUUGCAAUAAUCUCUGCUAAAAAAUGUUAAAAGCAAAUCCUGUGACACUUCUCCAAAUUCUGAAGGAAUGAGAAUGUAACUGAAAUGUACCUCUAAUAUUAGGAUAUGAAACUCUGCUCUCAAAUGUCAAUAGCUGCAGGCUGUUGAUUAAUUUAGUGCACAUACAAUAAAUACAUUCAUUUCCUGUAAGUAUGUCUUUUGCAUAUUAUAAACAUUCCCUUUCAAUUGUGAUCAAUUUCCUUAAAAAAAACUGAAGAUGUAUUUUGACAUUUGAAAAUGCAUGUAUUAGACUUUAACCACGCCCAUGAAAAUUACAGCUUUAGGCCAAAAACCAACGCCCAAAGAUCACUACCACCAGGUGCUUCUUGGCAUUUCUACAGAAUGCCUGGCCAAAUUGGUGGGUAUCACACAGGUAAGCCAGGGUGCCACAGGAAUCCUCUCUGGAGUGACAGAUCUAGCCAAGGUAGAGCUGCAAUAACUGCAUCACUCCCUGCUACAGGCUUCUUCUGUCUUUUGGAUUCCUGCUCCUCAAGAGCUGUCCUCAGGUCAAACAGACUCAAGAUGAUCUUCCCUACAGGGAGCACCAUUAUUGCCACUGCUUCCCUCUGCAGCACCUUAAUUGUCUCCAGCCAUGAAAUGAGCAUCUGUAAUUGUGUGACAGCAUUACUUUGUGAUAAACUUGGCCUUUUAAGUCUCCUUGUUUCUAUUCAGUAUCUCCCAGCAGGCUGAAGAGUGCUUCCCUGAAACAGAGACUGCUCAGCAGCCUCCUUCAAUUCCUCCUCCUCCUGUGCUUUGCUGGCCUGAGGGGCACACAAUACCUGAACUCUAAGCACAUGUGUUGUCUGCAACAGUGAACCUCAGCUUGCUUUGCUAAAAUAAAACAAGCCUCCCCAGAAAAUCCAUCAACAAAAAAUUAGCAUAAUUUCAGAUUGUUACUAAUGGAUUUUCAUGAAGAAAAUCUAACUUAAAUUUACAGCUCUUCACAAUUUUCUUCCAAGUCUAACUCAUCAAUACAUUCAUACCUUGCAAGACAGCUUCAGAUCUGCAGAGAAUUUUCACGUGACUUGCAAACUUAUUUAUCAGCACUAGAAACAUUAAUAAGAAAUGCCUGUUUUUUUUUCUUUCAGCACUUUUCUUUCAUCUCAUCAUUUAUGAUUGAUCCAUCAUUUUCCUAUGUACACAAAACAUAUCAGACCAUAUCACAGGCUUCUUUGUCACAUAAAAAAAACCCCAGAAUUUUAAAAUUAAAGUUACUAGUAACAAACACAUGGCUUAACUCAUCUGACAAAGCAGCAGUUAAUUUUUUUCAUAAGUUCAGAAUUUGAAUUAACUACAGAGCAUUCAUAUACCAUGAGUAUUUCAGCACUAGUGAAAUAGUAGUAGAUCUUCAGAGCAAAUCAACUGGUGCUCAGAAUCUGAAACAUGUAUUUGGGAGAAAAGCAUCAUUUCAGGCUAAAUCUUUCCUGAUUCUAAAAACUGAGCUCCCUCCCAUGAGCAGCUGUGCAUCCUGGGCAGAUUUGCUUCAAAGGUGUAUUUACGAUCCAAAUGAAAACUUUAAUACAUGUACACUUAAAUAAAAAUGGUAUCCCUUAUUUUUUUGAUCAUUCUCUGUUCUAGUAGUCAAACUGAAGCACAUUCACACCUUAAUACAGGUGGUGUAAUCUGUAAAAAUAUAAAAAGGAAUUAUAUUUCAAGAAAUCUAUCAACCUCAAAAACAGGAGGUCAAAGAUCUUAGAAGGUUAAAAUACAUCCAGUAUGGUUAAAACAGCAUUUUUAUAUAAUGAAGUCAUUGGGUGUGCUUUGAGUUACUCAGCGGCUCUGUGUGCCAGUCAAUCCACCAAUAACAAC